AAAAAAAUUAAAACUUGUUCUAAUAUCUACGAUAGCAGAUUAGAAUAAUCAAAACUAGUUCCUUGCAUACAAGGGUAGCAACAGAACUACAUCAAACAAACAUUAUAAUAUAAACAGGAAAAUAAGCUCUAGUAUCUACGAUGAUCAAACAGAAUUUUAAUAUUAACACAAAUGGUCCCCAACAACAGCGUCAAAAACUUGAUACGCCACAAGCGUACGACAAUUUUCAGAGUAGUAAAAAGUAUUAUUCCUCAGAGACCAAUGGUUAAAUACCAUAUUCUAUCCUAUCUAUGUAAAGCUAGAGCAACCAAAU
rnacentral:lncRNA from 1 species